CAGAUCUCAUAUCCCCAGAAAGCUUGAGCAUGAAGCCACCCACAAGACUGUGGCUGGGCUGUCACUUUCCUGUGUUUCUGGUGACAGAGUUGUCCUGCUUGCUGCAGAGAAAGAAGAAUGGGAGAUCUGAGGAGCAGGAUCAUUGCCUUGCUGCUGGCCAUCUCCACAGGUGUCCAAUGCCAGGACCGAGUGGAUCAGGAGCCUGUAGAAGUUAUCAAAGAAGGAGAUGACUCCACCCUCACCUGUCAGUUCACCUCCACCAAUGUCUAUGGAAUGCAUUGGUAUAGGCAAUAUCCAGAAAAAGUACCUGUAUUUCUCCUAACAGUUACAUUGGUGGAAUUGGAAAAGAAGGAACAUUUCAUUGCCUCUUUUGACAAGCAAAAGAAGGAGAGUCAGUUAAACAUCACAAAGGUGCAGAUGAAAGAUGCUGCUGUCUAUUUCUGUGGGGCCCAAGAUCACAGCAAUAUAGAGACACCUGCUGUCUGUACAAAAACCCUCUAAGGCUGAGCAAUUCUGUGCAGGGAAAAUGAAUCUCAGCUGUGGAACUGGAAUGCAGAAUUGGACCAGAUGACCCAAAACAAGCCACAUGUGGACACAGCAUGCAUUGUUAUCAACUAGAAAGUGAAUCAAAGUAUUCCAGAGUUUUGCAAGAAAGAAGGAAUAUACCAGGUGAACAUUCCCACCACUGGCAAGGCUCAAGGACAUCGGGGGAUCCUUGUGGAUAAAGGUUUGGUUUUGCCAAACCAAAACAUGGGAUUAUCCUACAGAGAGUGGGAAGUACUGUCAUUUAUUGAAGGCAAUGAACCAAAGUUUGGGCGUGGCAGAAUUGCAUAGAAAAAAAAUCAGGUCCAGAUAAUCUGACACUCCAAAACUUGGAAAUAUUUGUGGCUCCAUUGGAAUGCGUAAAUCAGACCACCCCAUUUUGGGUGGCAGAGAAAUGGACUAUUUUAGGUCUGGAAGAAAAUGGAAGAUUCUAAAGAUAGCAAGAACAUUUUGCAAGAAAACUGUCAUGUCUUCUUUCUCCAUAAGAUAAUUGUUUUGCCUUCUUUGAAGAUGUUUAAUUAGAGGAUUUCC